GAUGAACGCUGGCGGCGUGCUUAACACAUGCAAGUCGAACGGUGAACGAGGGAGCUUGCUCCCUCCGGAUCAGUGGCGAACGGGUGAGUAACACGUGAGCAAUCUGCCCCGAACUCCGGAAUAAGCGCGGGAAACUGCGUCUAAUGCCGAAUACGACCUCGGAAGGCAUCUUCUGAGGUGGAAAGCUCGGGCGGAGAAGGAUGAGCUCGCGGCCUAUCAGCUAGUUGGUGAGGUAAUGGCUCACCAAGGCAUUGACGGGUAGCCGGCCUGAGAGGGUGACCGGCCACACUGGGACUGAGACACGGCCCAGACUCCUACGGGAGGCAGCAGUGGGGAAUAUUGGACAAUGGGCGAAAGCCUGAUCCAGCAACGCCGCGUGAGGGAUGACGGCCUUCGGGUUGUAAACCUCUUUCAGCAGGGACGAAGCGAAAGUGACGGUACCUGCAGAAGAAGGACCGGCCAACUACGUGCCAGCCGCCGCCGUAACAC
rnacentral:rRNA from 1 species